rnacentral:rRNA from 1 species
AUGGAGAACAAAAUUUUGGUAGAUUUUUUGAGGAAUUUGGAGGAGGAUCGAACGGCUCUUAUACCAAUUGUUAGGGUCCAGCUACUAGUUUCACUCAAUCACCAUGGUUUGGCUACAAAUCUAGAAUUACAGGAGGAGGAAGCAGAGGAAGGAAGGAGACGGAGGAGGAAGAACACGCUACAGAGAGGGAGUUCGCCAGCCAGGCCGAAGCCUUCCGUCCAAGCCGAGUCACUCGUUGCCAUCUCCACCAUAUUUGUAGUCGCUGCUUUCCAUGGCUUUUGUGCAGGCCCAAAGCCCAAGAGCAGCCCACCGUGCAGUCCAGGUAGUAGUGCAGGGAAGGUCGCUGACAUAUGCAAGGUGAUGUUACUCUGGGCGUCGGUGCAGUUGAUUUGGGCGUGA